rnacentral:rRNA from 1 species
UCGGAGUUAGUGGCGGACGGGUGAGUAACACGUGGGAACGUGCCUUUAGGUUCGGAAUAACUCAGGGAAACUUGUGCUAAUACCGAAUGUGCCCUUCGGGGGAAAGAUUUAUCGCCUUUAGAGCGGCCCGCGUCUGAUUAGCUAGUUGGUGAGGUAAUGGCUCACCAAGGCGACGAUCAGUAGCUGGUCUGAGAGGAUGAUCAGCCACAUUGGGACUGAGACACGGCCCAAACUCCUACGGGAGGCAGCAGUGGGGAAUCUUGCGCAAUGGGCGAAAGCCUGACGCAGCCAUGCCGCGUGAAUGAUGAAGGUCUUAGGAUUGUAAAAUUCUUUCACCGGGGACGAUAAUGACGGUACCCGGAGAAGAAGCCCCGGCUAACUUCGUGCCAGCAGCCGCGGUAAUACGAAGGGGGCUAGCGUUGCUCGGAAUUACUGGGCGUAAAGGGAGCGUAGGCGGACAUUUAAGUCAGGGGUGAAAUCCCGGGGCUCAACCUCGGAAUUGCCUUUGAUACUGGGUGUCUUGAGUAUGAGAGAGGUGUGUGGAACUCCGAGUGUAGAGGUGAAAUUCGUAGAUAUUCGGAAGAACACCAGUGGCGAAGGCGACACACUGGCUCAUUACUGACGCUGAGGCUCGAAAGCGUGGGGAGCAAACAGGAUUAGAUACCCUGGUAGUCCACGCCGUAAACGAUGAUUGCUAGUUGUCGGGAUGCAU